rnacentral:rRNA from 1 species
GCUUGCUUGUUGGGGUUGUAGGACACUCUAUACGGAGUUACAAAGGACGACAUUAGACGAAUCAUCUGGAAAGAUGAAUCAAAGAAGGUAAUAAUCCUGUAGUCGAAAAUGUUGUCUCUCUUGAGUGGAUCCUGAGUACGACGGAGCACGUGAAAUUCCGUCGGAAUCUGGGAGGACCAUCUCCUAAGGCUAAAUACUCUCUAGUGACCGAUAGUGAACCAGUACCGUGAGGGAAAGGUGAAAAGCACCCCGGAAGGGGAGUGAAAUAGAACCUGAAACCGUGUG